UGAGCCGGCACUGGGUUUAGCCCCCACACCCCACCCCGCCUCUCUACCUUCAAGGUACCUCCCCGAUGCUCAGGAAUGCUGCAACUUUCGCACUCCCAGAGCGCCUACUCCCGGGAUGGCCCCUCCUCCCAGCAGCUGGCAGCUGCCGUGGCUCUCACAGGCUGCAGGGCCCAAGAUACAUCUGUGACUCAGCAUGAAGUCGCUGAGCUGGGCUCUCUGAUGAGCAAACGAAGAAUAAAGGUAUCCACAGGACUGGAGGAAAUGGGUGGGGCUGUAAACCAUGCCCAUCAAGGUUCAGUCUCCAGGACCAUCAAUCAGGCAGGCAGGCAGGAGCAGCCCCCGCCCCCGCCCGCUGGAAGGGCCUCCGCACAGCAGGUGGACACGAAGGCUGGGUCCAGAGACCGCUCAGGUGAACAAGACGCCACCACCGCAGGGUGGAAGUUCAUGGUCGCUAUGUGAGGCUCUAGAGCCAAGGAAGACACACGUUCCCCACCCCGGACUCCCAAGAAACAGAGGCUGGAGCUGUGACUCCUUUUUACUACUUUUUCUUUGGCUAUGCUGGGUCUUAGUUGUGGCAUGUGGGAUCUUCCUGGACCAGGGAUGGAACCCGUGUACCCUGCAUUGGAAGACGAAUUCUUAACCACUGGACCACCAGGAAAAGUCCCUCCUUGACUCUCCCCCAGUCCUGGACGCAGGAAUCUGGUUGAAGGGCCCACAGCCUGAGCUGAGGAUUGGAGACUGAUCACCUCCUCUUGGCAGAGCACUCGAAUUCUGGUUCUGGUCUGGUCUGAUUUCUGGGCUUCCCUGGUGGCACAGAGGUUAAAGUGUCUGCCUGCAACGUGAGAGAC